GCCAGGCAUAGUGGUGCAUGCCUGUAAUCCCAGUGACUCCAGAGGCUGAGACAGAAGGAUCUCAAGUUCAAGACCAGCCUUAGCAAAUUAGCAAGAUCCUGUCUCAA
rnacentral:sRNA from 1 species